rnacentral:sRNA from 1 species
GUGAAACGAUUCCUUACAUCAAAUUAAUUAAGGACAUGAUUUAUUCUGUCUAGAAAAGGAAAAAACAAAGAAAAAAAAAACAUUCUGAAGAAGGUAAACUAGAUGGCAACCAAACUAGUCCUAUUUGUUCAUGUCCUAUUCCUUGAGAAAUUUUUAAUUGUGAUGGGAACACGGGUGUACAUCACGUGUUUUUAUGUAAGUAGUGGGAAAUUUUAUUUUUUAAGUUAUUAAUUUUUUAACACACAUAUCGCACAAUUUAUAUAAUAACACGUGGUGUGCCGGUUGCAUUAAAAAAUCUCUCCUAUUCAUUUUUCAAAUAAGAUUUAGCAAUCCGGCCGUCAGCUCCUUUAGGGUAGAAACCGCCCGGUACAUGUUCAUUACCGCUACCAUAUACGAUCCUUACCCUAAAUACCGCCAGGUACACGUUCAUUACCGCUACCAUAUACGAUCCUUAGUAUCUCCUCUGGAGUCCUGCCAUAUGCAAGUGAGUACUCGUCUCCAGCGAGAAUGUUGCCGCUGACUUUUCCCUCAGCACCCAAGUGUUUGGGAAC